GACGAACGCUGGCGGCGUGCUUACCACAUGCAAGUCGAACGGAAAGGCCCUGCUUUUGUGGGGUUCUCGAGUGGCGAACGGGUGAGUAACACGUGAGUAACCUGCCCUUGACUUUGGGAUAACUUCAGGAAACUGGGGCUAAUACCGGAUAGGAGCUCCUGCUGCAUGGUGGGGGUUGGAAAGUUUCGGCGGUUGGGGAUGGACUCGCGGCUUAUCAGCUUGUUGGUGGGGUAGUGGCUUACCAAGGCUUUGACGGGUAGCCGGCCUGAGAGGGUGACCGGCCACAUUGGGACUGAGAUACGGCCCAGACUCCUACGGGAGGCAGCAGUGGGGAAUAUUGCACAAUGGGCGGAAGCCUGAUGCAGCAACGCCGCGUGCGGGAUGACGGCCUUCGGGUUGUAAACCGCUUUCGCCUGUGACGAAGCGUGAGUGACGGUAAUGGGUAAAGAAGCACCGGCUAACUACGUG
rnacentral:rRNA from 1 species